GCUAGUAAUCGCGGAUCAGCAUGCCGCGGUGAAUACGUUCCCGGGCCUUGUACACACCGCCGUCACACCAUGGGAGUUUGUAACGCCCAAAGUCGGUGGCCUAACCUUUAUGGAGGGAGCCGCCUAAGGCGGGACAGAUGACUGGGGUGAAGUCGUAACAAGGUACC
rnacentral:rRNA from 1 species